AACCACCGAAGUUUUCAUAACACAAAUAUAUCCCUCGAGCGUAUGUAUAGGUACAAUAAACUUCUUGCGGAGAAUAUUCGCCGUUUCGCCAAAGUCAAAGCUGCAGACGGCCGAGUCGCUGUUUUAUAAGAGGGGGGAUCGGAAUGGAUAAUUUAUGCACAUACAGAGAGAUGGGGUAGUUUAAUUUAUAUCUGUACGCAACUAUGGACCGUUGCUAGAGGAAAACGAUUCUG